rnacentral:rRNA from 1 species
AACGAACGCUGGCGGCAUGCCUAACACAUGCAAGUCGAACGAGACCUUCGGGUCUAGUGGCGCACGGGUGCGUAACGCGUGGGAACCUGCCCUUAGGUUCGGAAUAACUCCCCGAAAGGGGCGCUAAUACCGGAUAAUGUCUUCGGACCAAAGAUUUAUCGCCUUUGGAUGGGCCCGCGUUGGAUUAGCUAGUUGGUAGGGUAAAAGCCUACCAAGGCGACGAUCCAUAGCUGGUCUGAGAGGAUGAUCAGCCACACUGGGACUGAGACACGGCCCAGACUCCUACGGGAGGCAGCAGUGGGGAAUAUUGGACAAUGGGCGAAAGACUGAUCCAGCAAUGCCGCGUGAGUGAUGAAGGCCUUAGGGUUGUAAAGCUCUUUUACCCGGGAUGAUAAUGACAGUACCGGGAGAAUAAGCGCCGGCUAACUCCGUG